rnacentral:pre_miRNA from 1 species
UCUUAUGGAUGAGCAAAGAAAGUAGUUUCUUAAGACGGAGUCAACUCCUGGUGAUGAUACUAUGAA